rnacentral:sRNA from 1 species
CAGAGCCAAGGAAGCUGCACAGGGACAAGGGCUGAUGAUAUUGAAAGUUCAUAUGGAUCAGGUGAUUUCACUGUGAAAGGCUUCCUCCACAGACUGAGCAUCAUCAAUGACUGGGCAAAAUUCCACUGGGCUCUUCUAGACUUUUUCCAAGGACUAUUUCUGGAAACAAACUUCAACAUUCCCAGAAAGUCACAUGAAGAGUUCACACCGAGUCUCAGAGGAGCCAAUGAACAAAAUCUGGGACUAUAAAGACCAUGAAGUCCUUUGAAGAGUGACUAAGCGCAUUGUACACCGAGAUGCACAGGAGCCUGUAGAAACUAAGACAUUUGGAGCAGCAGGAUGCCAUUGAGAAGAGGUUGGGAAUGUUAAAGCUAAGCCAUGUGAACCAAGCUCAUCCCAACAGCUGCCAAAGUGUCUGAAAGUAGAUCCUGGGUCCACCCUUCCCCAUCCCAGCCUUGGAUCUGCUGCUGCUAUGUGAAACGUUUCUGAAAACAGUGACC